AGAGUUUGAUCCUAGCUCAGGAUGAACGCUGGCGGCGUGGAUAAGGCAUGCAAGUCAAACGGGCUGUAUAGCAAUAUAUAGUCAGUGGCAGACGAGGUAGUAAUAAGUAGGUACAAACCCCAAAGUCAGGGAUACCUCAUCGAAAGAUGAGUUAAUACUUGAUGGUCUCUUCGGAGUAAAGAUUUAUCGCUUUAGGAUGGGCCUGCUCGGUAUCAGCUAGUUGGUGAGGUAAAAGCUCACCAAGGCUAUGACGCCUAGGGGACCUGAGAGGGUGACCCCCACCGAUGGAACUGAGACACGGUCCAUACACCUACGGGUGGCCGCAGUCGAGAAUCUUCCGCAAUGGACGAAAGUCUGACGGAGCGACGCCGCGUGGAUGAUGAAACUCUUCGGAGUGUAAAAUCCUUUUGCCAGGGAGAAAGUUUAUUGAUAGUACUUGGCGAAUAAGAGGUUGCUAAACUCGUGCCAGCAGCAGCGGUAAUACGAGUGCCUCAAGCGUUAUCCGGAAUCAUUGGGCGUAAAGGUUGUGUAGGUGGUCAUAUUAGUCUCUUGUUAAAUUCUUCGGCUUAACCGGGGGCAUGCAAGGGAAACGGUAUGACUAGAGGAUGCGAGGGGUCUGCGGAACUCAUAGUGUAGCGGUGAAAUGCGUUGAUAUUAUGGGGAACACCAAAAGCGAAGGCAGCAGACUGGAGCACUCCUGACACUGAAACAAGAAAGCGUGGGUCGCGAAUGGGAUUAGAUACCCCAGUAGUCCACGCCCUAAACGAUCUUCUCUAGUUUUUCGGAGUAUCGACCCUCUGAGAGACGAAGCUAACGCGUUAAGAGAAGCGCCUGGGUAGUACGACCGCAAGGUUAAAACUCAAAGGAAUAGACGGGGACUUGCACAAGCGGUGGAUCAUGUGGCUCAAUUCGACGGUAAACGAAGAACCUUACCAGGGUUUGAAACCUAGCUGAAUACUUUAGGAAACUAGAGUAGUCGCAAGACAGUUAGGCAGGUGAUGCAUGGCCGUCGUCAGUUCGUGGCUUGAGUUGUUCCCUUCAGUGGGGUAACGAACGCAACCC
rnacentral:rRNA from 1 species